rnacentral:rRNA from 1 species
CCUAGCCAACGAUGGAUAGGGGUUCUGAGAGGAAGGUCCCCCACAUUGGAACUGAGACACGGUCCAAACUCCUACGGGAGGCAGCAGUGAGGAAUAUUGGUCAAUGGACGAGAGUCUGAACCAGCCAAGUAGCGUGAAGGAUGAAGGUCCUACGGAUUGUAAACUUCUUUUAUAAGGGAAUAAACCCUCCCACGUGUGGGAGCUUGUAUGUACCUUAUGAAUAAGCAUCGGCUAACUCCGUGCCAGCAGCCGCGGUAAUACGGAGGAUGCGAGCGUUAUCCGGAUUUAUUGGGUUUAAAGGGAGCGCAGACGGGUCGUUAAGUCAGCUGUGAAAGUUUGGGGCUCAACCUUAAAAUUGCAGUUGAUACUGGCGUCCUUGAGUGCGGUUGAGGUGUGCGGAAUUCGUGGUGUAGCGGUGAAAUGCUUAGAUAUCACGAAGAACUCCGAUUGCGAAGGCAGCACACUAAUCCGUAACUGACGUUCAUGCUCGAAAGUGUGGGUAUCAAACAGGAUUAGAUACCCUGGUAGUCCACACGGUAAACGAUGGAUACUCGCUGUUGGCGAUAUACUGUCGAGCGGCUUAGCGAAAGCGUUAAGUAUCCCACCUGGGGAGUA